UAACACAUGCAAGUCGAGGGGUAACAUAGAAAAGCUUGCUUUUCUGAUGACGACCGGCGCACGGGUGCGUAACGCGUAUACAACCUACCUUUUAGCGGGGAAUAGCCCAGGGAAACUUGGAUUAAUGCCCCAUAGUAUAUAGACUUCUCCUGAAGUUUAUAUUAAACAUUUAUGGCUAUUAGAUGGGUAUGCGUCCUAUUAGUUAGUUGGUAAGGUAACGGCUUACCAAGGCAGCGAUAGGUAGGGGUCCUGAGAGGGAGAUCCCCACACUGGUACUGAGACACGGACCAGACUCCUACGGGAGGCAGCAGUGAGGAAUAUUGGACAAUGGGCGAGAGCCUGAUCCAGCCAUGCCGCGUGCAGGAAGACUGCCCUAUGGGUUGUAAACUGCUUUUACAGAGGAAGAACCACCCCCACGUGUGGGGGUUUGACGGUACUCUGCGAAUAAGGAUCGGCUAACUCCGUG
rnacentral:rRNA from 1 species